CUGAGACAUCCUCCCUUACUUUUUCUCUACCCACACAUACUUCUUUUGACAGGUCUGUCACUAGCCUACUUUCACUUUUUUUUUAAACUUUCGUAGUUGGACAUGAACACAAUCAACUAAUUCCAAUCUUGAUCACCAAUACUGAAACACCAGACUACUUGCUUCCCCGGAUUAGACAAGAGGUCAUUUUGAAUUUUCAUCACAGAAUCUUGUUUCUUCAUUUAAUAGAUGAGGAAACUGAGGCACGGAUAGACAAGAUUUACUUUGUCCAGCAAAUUUUGUAGCAGAUCCAAGCCUGAGGCUGCCUGACGUUCAGAUUGUGCAGGAACACCCAAGUCUUCUGGAAGGCCCUCUUGCUGACAGCUGGUGCCAACCUCUGAACUAUUCAUCCGAGCUGGUACCACAGGACCUUUGCUGCAGUCUCUCUCCUCCUGCCCCCUCAACCCCAGCCAAGGGAGAGAGUGUAGACUCAUGGGGGGCUGAAAUGACUUUCUUAAGGUUUCCCAAGAUGGAGUAGGCCCUCCUGAGUAAAUAGACCCCAGAAUUAUCACUCCUUAUUUGUUAGUUCUCCAGGUUUUGAAUGGAGAUGGGGGAAUAUUUUGAAGCAUCAUCUGUUUUCCUUUUCCAAACUUAUCUCUACCUCUGACUUCAAAAAAAUAUUCACCAUUGGCUGCUGCAAGAUGUAGCUCCCGCCAGAGGUGCUAGGCAAAUUUCCAUGUAUUUCUAGCUGUAUAUCAGGCACCUGGAAAUGUGCGCCCAGAGUUUGGGAAAGGGGUAAGGGAUGGUGAUGUGGAAUAGACAUAGUCUCAGUCAAUUUGGGCUGCUAUAACAGAAAUGCCGUAGACUGGGUGGCUUAAACCACAAACAUUUAUUUCUCACAGUUCUGGAGGCUGGGAAGUCCAGGCUCAAGGAACUGGCAGAUCUGGCACCUGGGGAGGGCCCACUUGUUGACUUGUAGGCAGCCACCUUCUCCCAGUAUCCUUACACGGUGGGGAGAGAGAGGGCUAGCUUUCUGUCUCUUCUUUUAAGGACACUAAUCCCAUCAUGGCCUCCAACUUCAGGACCUAAUUACCUCCCAAAGGCCCCACCUCCAAAUACCAUCACAUUAGGGAUUCAACAUGUGAAUUUGGGGGAGACACAAACAUUCAGUCCCUAGCAGACAUCCUCCUCCUGAACUGUUGAUUGAAGACCUGGGGGUGGUUAUGGUCCCUGAAGUGCUUAUAGAGCUAAUAGAUUGUAUGUAAUAUGUAAUAAGAUCUAUCAUAUAAUAGCCAAGAAAACUUUGAAAAAGAACAAUAACAAGGGAGGAGCUCACCUUGGAGGAUGCUAAAACAUAUUGUGAAGGUAGUUUGAAAAAAAAUCCAAUACUGUGCCUAAUAGGACAAAACAAGCAGUCCAGACCAUAGUACACACAUAACAACUUCAUGUAUAAUCAGUAAAUGGCACAAUGUAAUUGGUUAAUUAUUUGAAAAAUUGAAUUAGGUCUUCAAGAAGAAGCAGUUAGUGCUUACCAAAUAUUCUAUGGCAUCCCUCAACCAAAAGCAAACGACUUUGAGAUGGAGGAUUGCAGGAAGAAGCAGCCUGGACCCCUGAGUCACCAGGUGGAGGUGCACCACUCAGGAGUGCCACCCUGAGCAUCACGGGGCUUGACAUCAGUAAGAAUUAAGGCUUUUUAUGUUAAGGAAUUGAGAUUUCAGGGUUUGACAGUUGUAGCACUAGCGUUAAUUAUCUCAAAUACAACGCCUUCGCACCUUACACCACAUAUCAAAAUCAAAAUAAAUUCUAGCUAGAAUAAGAAAUAAAAUGUUAA
rnacentral:lncRNA from 1 species